UUCAGUGAAGUCAUUGUUCAAAGCAUCUGCUCUUUGUUUCAUAAAUCUUCCCACAGCUCCUCUGGAGGCCUGCAGCCCCCUGCUGUCAGGCAUCUGACGGGGAUUUAUGCCCACGCAGACCAAGGAUCACCCCAUCAGCUUGUGCUGGGCAGGCCGCCCUUCCCAGAGCAGGUCUGCCCAGGCUGAGCUGUGGGCUCACAGGACCUCGGCGUUUCCAGGGAUCAAGGCGAAUCAGCUUUCCUUGUGCUCGGUCAUCAGGGGAUCUCCACCACGUGCAAGGAGGGAACCACGGCAAGAGGGAGAGCAUUAAGACACCAGUGAACCUCCAAACUGAGAGCUAGGAGCUGUAACCAAGCGCCGAUGCCCCACAGCUCAGCCGAACCAGGAGCAAAGCAGGGACACAGAGAAAUGGCCUCAGCGAAGCUGCAGCUGGCCAAGUCAGAGAAAGAUGUCAAGAUUUCUCUUUGAGGUCAGGAUCCCGGGAGCACCGUUCCCAGAGGCAGACGACACCUGCAGGGAUUGCCUAAGAUCCAAGACCACCCGGCUGACAAACAACUGCUUGAUUUGUCCUGUCGCCAAGGAAAGGGAUAAGGGUACCAAAGGCCCCGAGCACGAGGAUGUCCUCCCAACAGUGUGGCUCGGCUGUUCUGAGGUCAAGCUCCGGAGACAGAGAGACCUGGGUUGGCUACCUGGACCUGUCCUCGCUCUGCCUCUCCAAGCCUUCGUCUCCUCCUCAGUAAAAUGGGUGAUGAUCAAGUGCCCCUUUCACAGGGCUGGAGCUAGUGAGAUGAUGCACGGAAGGCACAGGGCCCAGUGCCCAGCAGACAGCACAUGCUCAAUAAACUCCAGAAAUCUUCAUCAUUAGGAUGAUCAUUCAGUUGUGGGAGUCUGGAGGGUUUCGAGAAAGAGAUUUUCAGGGAGAAAUAAUAUUACAAAUGUUCACUUGCUUAAGAUGUUCAUGGAUGCACAGCUAAUCUUGUCGCUUCUGGGAAGCAAAGCCAUUGGAACUCUGUUUUACUCUCUUUAUUCCCACCUCUGACCAGGCUCGUAACAUAAUAGCUAACAUUUAUGAGCACUUACUCUGUGCCAGGCCCCUUGCACGUAUUACUUUACCUAAUCCGUAAAAUAACCCCAUGAGGUGGAUACCCUCUGUAUGCCCAUUUUACAGAUGAGGAACUGUGGCACAGACAGGUUGAGUACUUUGCCUAAGGUCACACAGUGAGGAAGUGGGCAGAGCCAGGAUUUGAGAAUAGGCAGGCUGGCUCCACAUGCCACACCCUUAUCCUCCA
rnacentral:lncRNA from 1 species